rnacentral:rRNA from 1 species
UACAGAGGGUGUGAGCGUUAAUCGGAGUUACUGGGCGUAAAGGGCGCGUAGGCGGUUGUGUGAGUGUGAUGUGAAAGCCCUGGGCUUAACCUAGGAAGUGCAUCGCAAACGACAUAACUGGAGUAGAUGAGAGGGUGGCGGAAUUUCCGGUGUAGCGGUGAAAUGCGUAGAGAUCGGAAGGAACGUCAAUGGCGAAGGCAGCCACCUGGCAUCAUACUGACGCUGAGGCGCGAAAGCGUGGGGAGCGAACAGG